rnacentral:tRNA from 1 species
UUUGCUAUAGUUUAAUAAAAACGUUCCGUUUUCAAUGGGAAGAUAAAUGAAAGUUUAGCAAAU